rnacentral:lncRNA from 1 species
ACAACUCUCAAGUAUCAACUUCACCUGAGUAACUUUCCGUGUUUUUAAAAUAUAAAUUCUAAAUAACAAUAUCUCGCAAUACCGCUGGAUGGCUUAUAAAAGUUAAAAACAUAACCACAUCGAGUUUUUAUUUUUGUCAUUUAUCAAACACAAAAUAAUGAAAAUAUUAAAGCACAAAUGGCAAACUCCUAUACCAUACACAUUAACCUUCCACUAAAAAAAUUCUCACUAAAGAAUGAGACAAGUGAAAGGCAAAAUUGUUAAAAAACAUCACAUUCAAUUUCCUUUUGUUAUCAGAUAAGCUAGCGUUGACAUAACUUUGUUCGUCUUCAUAUAUGUAGGGCUGCAAACGAAUCGAACAAAAAGAACGUUAAUUUAUAAGAAAUUAAGAUAUGAAUAAAUGCAUUGAAAACAUGAAUGCAUAGAAUAGAACGUCUAAAAUUCAAAUUUCAAUUCAAAUAAUACUUUUUUUUAAAAGUAAUGUUACAUUAUUAGAUAAUAUUAUUAUUUUUUUAUCAAUAUUUGGCUAUCAAUAAUUUGUAUUCAUAUUUAUAGAAUGUUUGCCCACAAAAAACAUAUAAUUUAAACUUAUAUUUACUAGAAUUUUACACACAUAUAUCAAUAUAAUUUACACUUAUAUUUUUUAAAAUUUGAAUACAUAAAUUAAUAAAAUUUAUUUGUAUAACUUUAAUUGUAUGUACCAAAAACAAGUAAUACAGUCACUGUAUACGGGCAUUAAUUUACUUCUUUCUUUUUUAUUUUUUGCUUGAAAGAAAUUAAGAAAACCAUAUUUAUCAUUAAUAGAAAAAUAAUUCUUAAAUUAAAAAAACAAAAAAGUAUACAAUUCAAACCUGAAUGCUGUUCUACUAAGGCAACUUGAAUGCUGUUCUAUUAAGCCAACUUGAUAUCUUUUAACUUGUUUAUUAUCUCUUCUUCUAGCAACUGCUGUCAACAUAAACAUUUCAAUUAUUGGUAAAACAAAAUUUGCAUUGUGAGGAAGAAAUUGGAGAGAUUUAAAUUAAAAUAAAAUAAAAUAAACAAUGAAAUAAAAUACGCAACGUGUAAACCUUAUCAUUAGGAGUAACAUUAUUGGUUGAUGAAUCAUUAGCAGCUUCAAGGGUGAAGUUAUCACUCAACUCUUUUAAUAAAAUUCUUUCAGAAAAUAGCUCUCUAAACAUAUCAUCAGGUAGAAGAAGUGCCGCAUACAGUGGAUAUAAAUGAAAAAAUUCAGUAAUACUCUGUGGAAUAAGGAAGUCACUAUCAUCUAGUGAUGGAUAUUGAUUAUCUUCAAAUAAUUCUUCACCAACAGGUGGGAUCUUUGACUCAGCUUGUUCUAAUGGAAUGAUUUCACAUGGGAUAUUUAACUCAACUUGUUCUAAUGGAAACAUCUCACAAAAUUCUUCGUAUGACUUAGGAAGUAGUGGCAAAUCAUUCUCACUAUUUUCUUGAUUCCCCAUGCAUUCCAUUGUUAAGAAUAAAAUAUAGCAAAUUAUGAGUCACUUAGAUGUAUUGUUUGAGAAAGAGGCAGAAAAAGAAAAGAAGUCAAGCACUUGUAAAUUAUAAAUUUUCUUAUGGUGUGUGUAUAUAUAUAUAUAAGUUCUUUAAAUUUAAUUUUGUCGUUCAUGCAACAAAAGAUAUAGAUAAAGAUAUGAUAAGUUAGUCAUAACAAAUUAAACUAGAAAGAUAAAAUCUUUUGCCUAGAAUUUAAAUUCAUUUUAUUCUAAAACUGAUUUACUAAAUUAUCUUGUACAUACAAUUCAUAUUCAUAUGAUAUGAUGAAAUUAACGUUUAAGGGUCGGUCUUUGGUGAGCUUAACUGCAUAAGUGUUUUUUGAGAGUUUCAGAUACACUCAAAAUAAUAAUUAAAUUAUGACUUUCUACAUAUAUCAAAUUAAUUAUUAAAAUUUUAAAUUUGCCCCAAAAGCUUUAAAAAUUAAACCUUAAAAUCUAAUCAAAAUAGAACAAAAUCAAAAUAAAUUAAUAAUACAAGAACAGAGCCAUAAAACAUAAUCAUAAACAAAAAAUCCCCAAAUAAAUGUUAUUACCAAUAAUCAUAACAAAUUGAAAAUUAUCAUAACAACAAUCAGAAAAUCAAAACCCAAGAACCAAGAACCAAUAAUCAUAACGAAUAGAAAAAUCAUCAUAUCACAACAUAAAAAAAAAUUAGAAGUCAGAAUAGAAAAAAGGUUCAGAAAAAUCAGAUUAAAUAAGAAAUCAAAACAAAAAUGGAACAAAUCAUACCUGAGGGCUGAGGCUGAGAGAUUGAGAACGAUGGAGCACAACUGAGAAUGAUGGAGAAGUGGAGAACCACGACACUAAGGAUGAUGCGGCUGCUGAGAUCGACGGUGCUGAGACGACGACGCUGAGAGACGCGGCUUCUGGACGGCGUGAGGCAUCGACGGACGACGAGACGGAAACGGCGGUUGCUGGACGGCUGGACAGCGACGACAGACAGGAGUAGAGGACUGUGACUGAGAGAGGAGUGUGCGUGAGUGAGAGACAGUGAGUGAAAGUGAAAAAGAGCAGUUUGUGUGUGAGCGACAAGAGAGCAAGCAGAAGCGGCGUGAGUGUAUUAGGGUUUAGGGAUAUUUUGUAAAAC